GACGAACGCUGGCGGCGUGCUUAACACAUGCAAGUCGAACGGAAAGGCCCUGCUUUUGUGGGGUGCUCGAGUGGCGAACGGGUGAGUAACACGUGAGUAACCUGCCCUUGACUUUGGGAUAACUUCAGGAAACUGGGGCUAAUACCGGAUAGGAGCUCCUGCUGCAUGGUGGGGGUUGGAAAGUUUCGGCGGUUGGGGAUGGACUCGCGGCUUAUCAGCUUGUUGGUGGGGUAGUGGCUUACCAAGGCUUUGACGGGUAGCCGGCCUGAGAGGGUGACCGGCGACAUUGGGAAGGAGAUACGGCACAGACUACAACGGGAGGCAGAAGGGGGGAAUAUUGCAGAAUGGGAGGAAGCAUGAGGCAGCAACGCCGGGUGCGGGAUGACGGCCUUCGGGUUGUAAACCGCUUUCGCAUGUGACGAAGCGUGAGUGACGGUAAUGGGUAAAGAAGCACCGGCUAACUACGUG
rnacentral:rRNA from 1 species